rnacentral:rRNA from 1 species
GUCUACGGCCAUACCACCCUGAACGCGCCCGAUCUCGUCUGAUCUCGGAAGCUAAGCAGGGUCGGGCCUGGUUAGUACUUGGAUGGGAGAAUAUGAGAGAAAGUGUGACUAUUCAUA